GAGCAAGAGCGUCUAUAAAAUAAUGGCGCACCUUGCCUUGAAGGUUGGCAAAAACAAUCACCAUUGCGAUUCUCCGUGCCUAUCAAGUUGAUUGAAGUCGUUUUGAUGAUGGCCUCGAACAUGUCGCUACAUU